rnacentral:rRNA from 1 species
CCUACGGGGGGCAGCAGUGGGGAAUAGUGGACAAUGGGGGCAACCCUGAUCCAGCCAUGCCGCGUGUGUGAAGAAGGCCCUCGGGUGGUAAAGCACUUUCAGUGAGGAAGAACGCCUGGUGGUUAAUACCCAUCAGGAAAGACAUCACUCACAGAAGAAGCACCGGCUAACUCCGUGCCAGCAGCCGCGGUAAUACGGAGGGUGCGAGCGUUAAUCGGAAUUACUGGGCGUAAAGCGCGCGUAGGUGGCUUGAUAAGCCGGUUGUGAAAGCCCCGGGCUCAACCUGGGAACGGCAUCCGGAACUGUCAAGCUAGAGUGCAGGAGAGGAAGGUAGAAUUCCCGGUGUAGCGGUGAAAUGCGUAGAGAUCGGGAGGAAUACCAGUGGCGAAGGCGGCCUUCUGGACUGACACUGACACUGAGGUGCGAAAGCGUGGGUAGCAAACAGGAUUAGAUACCCCUGUAGUC